UAAAAAGUCGUAAACAAAGGUUUCCGUAGGUGAACCUGCGGAAGGAUCAUUAACGAUUCAACCACGUGGGGCCGUCGUCCGCGGCGCCGUGCAGUGUUUUUGGUGCUCGCGUCCCGCGUCUCGCGGUGACGCCAGUCCACACUCACACCCUAUGUCUACGUACCUUUGUUGCUUUGGUGGGCCGCGGCCUGCGCUGCGGGCCUCGCGCUACGCACGUGCCCGCCAGAGAACCCAACUCUUGAUUUUAGUGAUGUCUGAGUACUAUAUUUAAUAGUUAAAACUUUCAACAACGGAUCUCUUGGUUCUGGCAUCGAUGAAGAACGCAGCGAAAUGCGAUAAGUAAUGUGAAUUGCAGAAUUCAGUGAAUCAUCGAAUCUUUGAACGCACACUUGCGCCCGCUGGUAUUCCGGCGGGGAUGCCUGUUCGAGCGUCAUUAUGACCAACUCACGCUUCUGCGUGGUCCUGGGGUCCGCUGUCACGGCGGCCCUUUAAACCCAGUGGCGGUGCCGUGCCCCUCCUCCACGGGUAGUAACUUAUCUCGCUACAGGUCCGUCUUGGAGUCGUCCAACAACCCCAACUAUUUCUAGGUUGACCUCGGAUCAGGUAGGGAUACCCGC
rnacentral:rRNA from 1 species